rnacentral:lncRNA from 1 species
CGCUGUCGGUAGAUGGCAUCAAGCCUAGCCUCUUCUUCUUUGUCAACGCUCUGAAUCAAUUCAUUGGCGGCUUCAACCUCGUCGAUUGAGGGCCUUGCAGGUAAAGAUCUGUGAAUUUUCAUGAUUUCCGCCACCCCUUCAUCCACAGGUAGUACCAGCGGUCACUCCAGCGCCAGCACCACUUCAUCCACAGGUAGUACCUGCGUCGCAUCCAUGACGAGAAAAGGCGGCGGGCGAGAUUUAGGAUGUUUGAAUUUCACCGGCGACGGUGGUGGAGGAAGACAGCUAAGGAGAAGGAUAGGGUAAGGUGGGGGGGGGGGAGAUGAUGCUUGCUUAAAACAAAUGAGGAAAAGCUUUGGGGUUUUGAAGGGUGGCUUGGCUUGGCUUCGCCUUCUUAAAGUUUCUAGAAAUCCAAGAGUGAGCAGUUUAGUAAUAAUUCCCCACUAAUUUGUUUGUUUGGUUGUUUGUGUUUCUACAGUUGCAGUUCACUAAGUUACUGAACACUUGGAUUUAAUGAAUUCUUUCACAAGUCACAACUGUUGCAAGUCUAAUUAUUAUAUUAUUACUGGUUUCUGCAAAAAAAAAAAAUUUAAAUAAAAAGAUGAGCUGUUC